rnacentral:rRNA from 1 species
UGUACACGCUGUGACUAGCAUAUCAAUAAGCGGAGGAAAAGAAACUAACAAGGAUUCCCUUAGUAACGGCGAGUGAAGCGGGAAGAGCUCAAAUUUGAAAUCUUCAAGGGUUUACCUUUACGAAUUGUAGUUUAAAGAAGUGUUUUCUGUUGAGGUUUUGGUAUAAGUUCUUUGGAAUAGGUACAUCACUAGAGGGUGAGAAUCCCGUCUAUGACUUGCGAUUUGUAACUUUGUGAUACACUUUCAAAGAGUCGGAUUGUUUGGGAAUGCAGUCCAAAACGGGAGGUAAAUUUCAUUCUAAGGCUAAAUAUUGGCGAGAGACCGAUAGCGAACAAGUACCGUGAGGGAAAGAUGAAAAGAACUUUGAAAAGAGAGUUAAACAGUACGUGAAAUUGUCAAAAGGGAAGCGUUUGACACCAGUGUUGUUUUUCUGAAAAUCAAUUAAAGAACUGUUUAUGCUAAGUUGUUUAGACUUUAUCAGCUAACUGUUUAGUUUUGAGCUUUUCUUUAAUGCACUUUUCAGUUAACAAGUCAACAUCAAUUUCUUUUGCUGUAAAAAAGCUUGAGGAAGGUGGCUUGAGAUUCGUCUUAAGUGUUUAUAGCCUCUUGCCUAUGCAGUCGGAGAGAUUGAGGUCUGCAGCGUAGAUCCUUCGGGGCUAAAUGCAUUUGUGCUAAGUUAUAACUUUUUAUAGACAACUUGUUGACUAUAGUUAGUCAUUGUAGCUUACUCGCUUAUGCUAUUUUACCUACGCUUAGGAUGUUGACGCAUGAGAUAUACGC